GUGCACUCCAGUUACCCAAACGAAGCAGCAGGAGGCAGCAGCACUGGCAGAGCAAAAAGAAAUGCACUUCCUGGCAGGAUCGUUUGAAUGUGAAGUCAUGGACAUGGCGCAGACACCUAAAGCCCUCUGAAUCCUGAACAUGACGACAUGAAACCACCAUUCACAACUGGAGCUAUCAAGAAAAUGGCUCCAGGUUGCAUGGCCCAAUUUUGGAGUCUAUGCAAUACUGGGCUGACCCAGAUCAAUUUUCAUUGCUAAAUCACGAUGCACAGUAAUGUUAUGUGGUGCUGUUGAUGUACAUAAACCAUUUUGUGAUGCUUU